ACCUGGUCUGAAGGUAGUGAGUUAUUUCAAUUGAUUGUUCACAGUCAGUUACAGAUCAGUCUUCUUAUUUUACUCUUUCCUCCCUUCUCACUACUGCACUUGACUCGUCUUUU
rnacentral:Y_RNA from 1 species